UUAAUUUGCUAAUCUGUUAGUUCGGCUAUGAUCACUUUUUGAACGAUAUUCAUUUUUCAUAUUUGUGUCCGUUUGAUGGACAAAAGAACAGUAUUAAAAAAAUAUGAAAUUUGAUUUUCAGAUAGUUUAAAUAGCUUAGAUCAUGUUCAACAGUGUUGAUCGUCAAUUUGAAAGCUCCAGUGUCGAAAAUAAAUCAGUAGUAGCAGAUCUCAUUUGCUAUUGAAAGUAAACUAUGUAUUGAAAAUGCAAAGCAACUGUAUUUCGAACUUUGAACUUUUGGAAUCAACCAUGAACCCUUUCUCUACUUUCCUCGCUCUUUCACUACUUCAACUGCUACUCUCUUCCAUCUUCAAGUGAUUUCAUUCUUCUCGCUCACAUCUUUGCUUCUUAAUUUUUAUAAAUGAAAUUUGAAAUUAAGCCACGAUGCCUGCGACCUCUCAUAUAAAAGAGACGUUUUACUCUCAUAUGAGAAGUGGAUUUUUUUUUUUUUUUUCUUUGAAAAAUAGAUAGCAUGCUAUUCAUUUCGUUUAUUUUAUUUAGAAAUAAAUUUUGAGAGAAAGAUUAAAGAUUUGGGGAUGCAGCAUAAGACCGAAUGUUACUCGUGCAGGAUGUAGAUUAAAUAUAUAUUUUUUAAAAUAUUUUAAUUUGUUCGUUUUUAUUUAUUUAUUUAUUUAUUUCCCUCUUUUGUUUUGUUUCGUUUUGCGUGAGAUAACAUUCAUGGACCGAAUGCUAUUCGUCCAAUUGUAGGAACGUGGGUCGAACAUUGCCUACGUUCAUUCUCACAUCUCUAUAGAAACUCUCUUUUACCAUCCUUUGGUUGUUGUGGGUAGGAACGAAAUUAGGAUUAAGGUUUGGAGGGGCCUAAGAUUUAGAUUUGACAGAAAAAAAUCGACCUCAAAUAGUAAAAAAAUAAAUUUGUCAGAUUCACCUAUCAUCUAUUACUAACAACAGUAGCGAUAAUGUGCUUAGAACAAAGCAAGACAAUUAGAGCUGAAGAAAAAGAGUCAAGAGGUUCGGAAAAAAAAAUUGGGCAACAAGUUUUAUUAAAAAAGAGUUAA
rnacentral:lncRNA from 1 species